rnacentral:misc_RNA from 1 species
GAUGAAGAACGCAGCGAAAUGCGAUAAGUAAUGUGAAUUGCAGAAUUCAGUGAAUCAUCGAAUCUUUGAACGCACAUUGCGCCCCCUGGUAUUCCGGGGGGCAUGCCUGUCCGAGCGUCAUUACAACCCUCAAGCUCUGCUUGGUGUUGGGCCCCGCCGCCCCGGCGGGCCCUAAAGUCAGUGGCGGUGCCAUCCGGCUCCGAGCGUAGUAAUUCUUCUCGCUCUGGAGGUCCGGUUGUGUGCUUGCCAUCAACCCCAAUUUUUUUCAGGUUGACCUCGGAUCAGGUAGGGAUACCCGCUGAACUUAAGCAUAUCAAUAAGCGGAGGA